UUUAUCGGAGAGUUUGAUCCUGGCUCAGGACGAACGCUGGCGGCGUGCCUAAUACAUGCAAGUCGAGCGGACAGAUGGGAGCUUGCUCCCUGAUGUUAGCGGCGGACGGGUGAGUAACACGUGGGUAACCUGCCUGUAAGACUGGGAUAACUCCGGGAAACCGGGGCUAAUACCGGAUGGUUGUCUGAACCGCAUGGUUCAGACAUAAAAGGUGGCUUCGGCUACCACUUACAGAUGGACCCGCGGCGCAUUAGCUAGUUGGUGAGGUAACGGCUCACCAAGGCAACGAUGCGUAGCCGACCUGAGAGGGUGAUCGGCCACACUGGGACUGAGACACGGCCCAGACUCCUACGGGAGGCAGCAGUAGGGAAUCUUCCGCAAUGGACGAAAGUCUGACGGAGCAACGCCGCGUGAGUGAUGAAGGUUUUCGGAUCGUAAAGCUCUGUUGUUAGGGAAGAACAAGUGCCGUUCAAAUAGGGCGGCACCUUGACGGUACCUAACCAGAAAGCCACGGCUAACUACGUGCCAGCAGCCGCGGUAAUACGUAGGUGGCAAGCGUUGUCCGGAAUUAU
rnacentral:rRNA from 1 species